rnacentral:misc_RNA from 1 species
GAUGAAGAACACAGCGAAAUGCGAUACGUAGUGUGAAUUGCAGAAUUCAGUGAAUCAUCGAAUCUUUGAACGCACAUUGCGCCCUUUGGUAUUCCAAAGGGCAUGCCUGUUCGAGCGUCAUUUGUACCCUCAAGCUUUGCUUGGUGUUGGGCGUUUUUGUCUUUGGCCCGCCAAAGACUCGCCUUAAAAUGAUUGGCAGCCGGCCUACUGGUUUCGCAGCGCAGCACAUUUUUGCGCUUGCAAUCAGCAAAAGAGGACGGCAAUCCAUCAAGACUCCUUCUCACGUUUGACCUCGGAUCAGGUAGGGAUACCCGCUGAACUUAAGCAUAUCAAUAAGCGGAGGA